GCGCGUGCCCACUGGAUGGGCGGAGAGUGUUGCGUGAUGCGUUUCCUGCUGCUUUUAAACCCGAGCAGAGUGAGUCUCAGCCUUUCUCGAAGAAUAGCUUGAAGAAACAGACGCAAUCCCUGCAGCAGAGACAAACUUAUGAGAUCACUGACCAAAUUACAGUACAAUACAAUGAUAUAUCAAGACAGCAUACAAGAUGUGCCACAGGAGUGUGGACGUGGGCCGGUUGCUCUCUGCGGGGUCUGUACAUCUGUGGAGAGCAUAGGAAAGAUGCCCAUUAAAUGAGAGUGCGUUUAACAUUCAGAAGGCGGCUGUUACCUGUCCAUCAGCAUUAAAUCCUGGAUGAAUACAAGCUGUGGCACACAAAGCAGAAAAUAAUAAUGUAUCGUAAAGGAUUGUAAGGCUGUAAACCAUAAAUCCAGAUGGCAUGGGCUGAUCCAGCUAUCUGAUGAUAACAGUGGAGGGCCGAAAUGCUGGAGAAAAAAAAAAAAAAAUAGUAUGAAGGUGGUGAUGGAAUAAGAUUCACACCUACAGCACCUACCACACAUGACUUUCACACUUGAGAGCGAGCUGGGAGAGAAAGCCCAGAUGAACACAAAUGUACAUGUGUGGUUUUUGGUGUGUAAUCGUGCAUUAAUGUUGUCAUCUAAUGCUCUCUACUAUGAUUUAUUUUUCUAUUACAUAAUAAAUAUCCACCAGAGCACCCGAACCAUGAAUGCUGCAGUUUUGUAGGUUUUUCUUUUAUUCCCCAAUUAAUAAUGUUUAAUGCCUGCAGUUUAAUUGCAUCUGGGUAAUGUUUAUAUGCAUUUAUGAAGCCAUUUUAUGAACACUG